rnacentral:rRNA from 1 species
UCAAGUCAUCAUGGCCCUUAUGUCCAGGGCUACACACGUGCUACAAUGGGAGGUACAACGUGCAGCGAAACCGCGAGGUACAAGCGAAACACGAAAAGCCUUCCGUAGUUCGGAUUGAAGUCUGAAACCCGACUUCAUGAAGUUGGAAUCGCUAGUAAUCGCGCAUCAGCAUGGCGCGGUGAAUACGUUCCCGGGGCCUU